AUGAACAUAGGAGAUUGCAGAAGGCUUUUAAAUUUGUCGCUCAGUCUGCUUAUGCAAGCAAACAACAGGCAGGACCCUGAAAAGGCCAGCUUUCCAGGUGUUGUAGAAGUUCAAAGGAAGAUGCAAAUCUUGUUGUCUCCUUACUUAAGACAAGGAAGAACAAUCGAGUUCUGCUAGCAAUAAGGGGAAACAGUCACAUAUAAAGAAAUGGACUCAUUUCACAAGUACUGAUAGUUGCUACUGAUCACUUCUUCCUGAAAGAAGAAAAAUAUUCUCAAAUCAAGGUAGCAGUUAAAUAGAAGGGUAGG
rnacentral:lncRNA from 1 species